rnacentral:rRNA from 1 species
UACAGAGGGGCAAGCGUUGUUCGGAAUUACUGGGCGUAAAGGGCGCGUAGGCGGCCUGCUAAGUCGAACGUGAAAUCCCUGGGCUCAACCCAGGAACUGCGUCCGAUACUGGUUGGCUUGAAUCCGGGAGAGGGAUGUGGAAUUCCAGGUGUAGCGGUGAAAUGCGUAGAUAUCUGGAGGAACACCGGUGGCCGAAGGCGACAUCCUGGAC